AAUUUUUUUUUCAGUUUUGAGGAUUUACUUUUUCUUUACUAUGUAUAUUCCAGGGCUUGAUCCCAGGUCUUGCACGCCUUCAGGGAAUCAGGAUGCCUUCACAUAAUUUUUACAGAUUCCUGGAAUGUUCAUACAUGUCCUGGUUUUUGCUUUUUACCUAUUAUCCUGAGACACUGCCUUUCUUGCAAUAUCUCUCACUGCCCUGUAACUGCUCAUCCUUGUCCUGCUUCAACUAACUCUGAGAACGGAAAUGAGGGCAAAAUCAGACUGUCUUCCUUUUGCACCCUGGAUCAUUUCCUGAAGAGUUUUGAAUUCAACACAAAAGGCAGGAUUUUAGCAGCGGUGGAAUGCAGCACAUGUGGAAAAGGUUGUACCAACGACCCUUAAGUGUUUUUGAACAAGAAGGUGCGAGAUAAGCCUUCUAUCAAGAAGUUUUAGUCAGGGCCAUUUUGACUGACCUGGUUUCUUUUCUUCCUUUCUUUUCUCUGUCUCCCUUUCUUUUUCUCUUUCGUUUCUUUCUUUUUCUUUUUUUCUCUCUUUCUUUCUCUCUUUUUUCUUUCUUACCAGCUCACUAUUUAUUGUUCAUGUUUCUGCUCUAAAUUCUAUCCCUCCUGUCAUGAUUUUAUGGAAAAUUGCAGAAGGUAAAUGAAUACUCUUUUAUCAGUUGCGAUUCAAGCUACUGUUAUUUCCCCAUAGCUCCUAGCAAGUGGCAGAAAUUGUCUUUUGAAGACUUAGAAAAUAAUAGUUUUAAAAUGUAUUAUGAUUUGUUUCUUGAAAAUAAAAGUAGUCUGAACAAUCAAGUAUAUUGAUUUUUAAAAAGGCCUGAAAGAUUGGCUAUUUAAAGGUUUCAUUUUAUAUAUGGGGGAACUAAGACUCAGAAAAGAUUUUGAAUUUGCCCAAGGCUAUAUAAAUAAUUGUAACCAAUACCUACUGAUUCCCAGUUCAGUUUUACCUACCACAGAAUGAAGGAGAAAGGCCUAGAUUUUUUUAAUGAAACUCAUUCUUCUCUUGAUAUUUGUUCUCAAUACAGAAUUAUUCAUAACUGUUAAUGAAAUAAGACCUUUCUAGUAUUCUCUUUUCAAAUCAUGUUUUGAAACUGGAAGUGAAAACUAUGGUGUAUUAAAAGUGAAUGGUUAUGACAGUGCUUUUCAAAAUAUUAAAAGAUCCUGAAAUGUUUUGAAUCAUUUAAGUAAAGUUAAAUUUUGUUUAGCGUAGAAUAUUUUAUUACAUUUCAAUAAUCGGGUAACACAACAUACUUAAUAAAUGCCUACUACUGUGAGUCAGGCACUGGCUCAAUGUCACCAAUCUUUAAAAAAUCCUCUUUAACAGGAAUCAUAGGCCUCAUUUUACAAACUGGAAAAAUGAGAAUUAAAGUUUUAGCAAUUUGCUUUAAGACAUAAAAAUAAGUGAUUGUGCUGGGAUUCAAA
ensembl:lncRNA